AUGCCCAUGGUGAGGAAGCAUGGAUGGCAACUCCCAGCACACACAUUCCAGAUCGUCGCAAUUACUGUUUUCUUCCUUCUGGUGGUUGCAUUUUAUGCCUUCUUUGCACCGUUUUUGGGAAAGCAAAUCCUUGAGUAUGUCGCAGUGGGUAUCUACACUCCUGUGGCAUUCGCUGUCUUCAUCCUUUAUAUCCGGUGCACUAGUAUAAACCCUGCAGAUCCUGGGAUCAUGUCAAAGUUUGACGAUGGCCAUGUCAAUGCACCAGAAAGUAAUACUGCCUUGCAGGGCACCAAUUUGCCUGCAAAAACUGGCAUUGCUACUGGAACCAACUCCCCAACAUCUACUUGUAGAAGCUCUCUAGAUGGGCGUACUAACCAUGGAGGUUUGGCUGCUGGAGAUACAGAUAUAAAUAUUAGAAUGCAACCACUAAGAAGAAGAUCAGGGUGCUACUUCGGAGGCUUUAUUUGUGCUUUGUUUGUCAAGGAGGAUUGCAGGAAAUCUGAUGAUUCAGAGAAUCAAGUUGAUGCAGAAGAUGCACUGUUUUGCACAUUAUGUAAUGCUGAGGUUCGCAAAUUCAGUAAACACUGCAGAAGUUGUGACAAGUGUGUGGAUGGAUUUGAUCAUCACUGCCGGUGGCUAAAUAACUGUGUUGGACGCAAGAACUAUUUCACAUUUUUUGCUCUGAUGACUACUAGUCUCCUCUGGCUUGCUAUUGAAGUUGGAGUAGGCAUUGCUGUUCUUGUUAUGUGCUUCGCCAACACGAAUGCAGAAAAAAUUAUUCAAGACAAGCUUGGGAAUGGAUUAACUCGUCUUCCGUUUGCAACUAUCGUAGGAAUAUUUACUCUUCUUUCUCUAGUUGCCUGCGUACCUUUGGGAGAACUCUUCUUCUUCCACAUGCUAUUGAUCAGAAAGGGGAUCACCACUUAUGAAUACGUUGUAGCAAUGAGAGCUAUGAGUGAAGUGCCUCAAGAUGAAGAGGAAGAUGAGAGAGCAAACAUUAUUUACUCCCCGACAAAUUCAGCAACUAGUGGGUUCAGCGGCGGAAGUUCACUUGGUCUUCACUACAAGGGUGCAUGGUGCACACCCCCAAGGAUUUUCGUGGAUCAGGAUGAAGUUAUCCCACAUUUGGAGCGUGGCAUGGCACCAUCUACCGUCGACCCUGAUGCCACUGGAUAUGCUGAAAGACCAAACAAAGCCAAGAGGCAAGUCAAAAUCAGUGCCUGGAAACUUGCAAAGCUGGACGGCAAUGAGGCGAUGAAAGCUGCUGCAAGAGCUCGGGCAUCAUCCUCCGUCCUCCGGCCCAUAGGUGCGCGCGGCCCUGGCUCCACUGGCAACUCGCAUCCUCAGAGUAUUGCGAGCCAGGAUGAGUACGAGACCGGCACGCAGAGUGCUAGCAGUUUGAGCAGCCCAGUCCACAUCCACAAGCUUGCACCUCGCACCCAGAUGAAUGUGCCGCCGCCUCGACCGCCGGAGAGGUCUGGUGUUCCGACCACGCAGGCAACCAACCCAAUAAUGUUCCGGCCAGCAACAUCCUACGCUCGCGAGAACCGAAGAGCGUCGGUUGUUUGGGAUCAAGAUGCUGGUCGGUAUGUGUCGGUGGCAUCUGCACCUGCAAGACCAGUGGGAGCUGCUGCUGGUUCUUCUGCUGCCCAGCCUGUUAGAGCGCCGCGUUUCUUGGAAAACCCAGGUGGUGGCAGAAAUCUUGCGCCAAUGAGUGCCUCUUCCUCGACAUUGCCAUCUGGGCAGCCGUCUGAGAGACUGGCCUACUCUGGACAGUCGAUAUUCUUGGGGGGGCCUGUUCUGGGCGCUGCUGCUGAAUCUGGAAGGAAUGAGGGCAACACAAGUGCACGGCCGGCUGACAGGAAGGAGCUCAACGCCGAUCAGCACCAUGAAAGGGGGCCAACGGCCGAGUCUUUCCCGGCGGGAACAUUUCAAAAGAAACCACCAUUCAACAGGUGA
rnacentral:rRNA from 1 species